UGCUGCAUGUGAACCAGGUCGGCGUG
rnacentral:ribozyme from 1 species